rnacentral:rRNA from 1 species
UACGUAGGGCGCAAGCGUUGUCCGGAAUUAUUGGGCGUAAAGAGCUCGUAGACGGUUUGUCGCGUCGGCCGUGAAAACUUGGGGCUUAACCCCAAGCCUGCGGUCGAUACGGGCAGACUUGAGUUCGGCAGGGGAGACUGGAAUUCCUGGUGUAGCGGUGAAAUGCGCAGAUAUCAGGAGGAACACCGGUGGCGAAGGCGGGUCUCUGGGCCGAUACUGACGCUGAGGAGCGAAAGCGUGGGGAGCGAACAGG